GACGAACGCUGGCGGCGUGCUUAACACAUGCAGGUCGAACGGAAAGGCCCUGCUUUUGUGGGGUGCUCGAGUGGCGAACGGGUGAGUAACACGUGAGUAACCUGCCCUUGACUUUGGGAUAACUUCAGGAAACUGGGGCUAAUACCGGAUAGGAGCUCCUGCUGCAUGGUGGGGGUUGGAAAGUUUCGGCGGUUGGGGAUGGACUCGCGGCUUAUCAGCUUGUUGGUGGGGUAGUGGCUUACCAAGGCUUUGACGGGUAGCCGGCCUGAGAGGGUGACCGGCCACAUUGGGAAUGAGAUACGGCCCAGACUCCUACGGGAGGCAGCAGUGGGGAAUAUUGCACAAUGGGCGGAAGCCUGAUGCAGCAACGCCGCGUGCGGGAUGACGGCCUUCGGGUUGUAAACCGCUUUCGCCUGUGACGAAGCGUGAGUGACGGUAAUGGGUAAAGAAGCACCGGCUAACUACGUG
rnacentral:rRNA from 1 species